rnacentral:rRNA from 1 species
GGACUACUCGGGUUUCUAAUCCUGUUUGAUCCCCACACUUUCGUGCCUCAGCGUCAGUUUCAGUUUCGUCAGCUGCCUUCGCAAUCGGUGUUCUGUGUCAUAUCUAUGCAUUUCACCGCUACAUGACACAUUCCGCCAACGUCAUCUGUACUCUAGUCCAGCAGUAUCAAUGGCAGUUCUCCCGUUAAGCGGGAGGAUUUCACCACUGACUUACUAAACCGCCUACGCACCCUUUAAACCCAAUGAAUCCGGAUAACGCUUGGAUCCUUCGUAUUACCGCGGCUGCUGGCAC